AGAUUGAACGCUGGCGGCGUGCUUAACACAUGCAAGUCGAGCGGUAACAGGCGUAGCAAUACGUGCUGACGAGCGGCGAACGGGUGCGUAAUACAUGGGAAUCUGCCCUUUGGUGGGGAAUAACCCGGCGAAAGCCGGGCUAAUGCCGCAUAAGAUCUUCGGAUAGAAAGGCGGGGGAUCGUAAGACCUCGCGCCGAUGGAUGAGCCCAUGUCGAUUAGCUAGUGGUGAGGUAACGGCUCACCAAGGCGACGAUCCGUAGCUGGUCUGAGAGGGACCGGCCAGCCCACACGUGGGACUGAGACACGGCCCAGACCUCCGUACGGGAGCAGCGAGU
rnacentral:rRNA from 1 species